UGCUCUGGUGGAAGAUAAAGGGAAGGCUUCUUUGAGUGAUUGCCCUUCGCGGGUGAUUAUUUGCGCACUUUCUCCAUGCUCCACGUGGCCCAAGAUGACUGCUUGAACUCCAGCUACUUUGUCUGAGUUCAGCCAGCAGGAAAGAAAGAGGAAGAAAAACCUGGGUUGGUGAACACAUCCACAUGCUGAGCAGGAGAUGCACCCCAACUCCAUGAGGCCAGAAGCUGCUGUGGUCUGUGGGCCCCUCCAGAUCUCACCCUAUGUACCUCUUCAUCUGGCUGUUCAUUUGUAUUCUUUAUAAUAUUCUUUAUAAUAAACCAGCAAUACUGAGGGAA